UCUCCCGGAGGCGCGCUCCAGCCGCCGCGGCCGCCUCCAACAUGGCCGAGAGCAGCGAGGAGGUGGCGGUGCUGGUGCAGCGGGUGGUGAAGGACAUCACCAACGCCUUCCGGAGGAACCCGCACAUAGAUGAAAUUGGCCUGAUUCCAUGUCCUGAAGCAAGGUAUAACCGGAGCCCCAUCGUACUGGUUGAAAACAAACUCGGUGUGGAGAGCUGGUGUGUCAAGUUUCUUUUACCGUACGUACACAACAAACUCCUUUUGUACAGAACGAGAAAGCAGUGGCUGAACAAAGAUGAAUUGAUAGAUGUCACGUGUACUCUGCUGCUUCUAAACCCAGAUUUUACCACGGCAUGGAAUGUGAGAAAAGAAUUGAUCCUCUCUGGUACCUUAAAUCCAAUUAAAGACUUACAUCUGGGAAAACUGGCCUUAACAAAGUUUCCAAAGAGUCCGGAAACAUGGAUUCACAGGCGAUGGGUGCUACAACAGCUGAUUCAGGAAGCGUCCUUGCCUUCCUUUGUAACCAAAGGAAACUUGGGAACGAUUCCUGCAGAGAGAACACAGCGGCUAAUACAGGAAGAGAUGGAGGUCUGUGGUGAAGCAGCAGGGAGGUACCCAAGCAACUACAAUGCCUGGUCUCAUCGCAUCUGGGUUUUACAGCACCUGGCUAAACUGGAUGCCAAGAUUCUUCUUGAUGAACUAUCUUCUACUAAACAUUGGGCAUCCAUGCACGUUUCAGACCACAGUGGAUUCCACUACCGCCAGUUUUUGUUAAAGUCUUUGAUUAGCCAAACUGUGAUAGAUGAUUCUGUAUUGGAGCAGAACCCUUUGAGAAAUGAGGCAGCCGUGGUUCUUCCAAAAGAUGAAGAAGAAGUGACUUUGACAGAGGAGCCAAAUAUAAAUCUCUCCCAUCUUCUAGAAAAAGAAGUGAAAUUCAGCAGUGAUCUUAUUGAUUCCUACCCAGGACAUGAAACUCUGUGGUGUCAUAGGCGGCAUAUUUUCUAUCUUCAACAUUACUUCAGCAGCAGGCUGUCUCACAGCGUGACACAGGUGGCACCUGCAGACAGUCCUGGGGAGACAUUGAAUGACUUGCACCUCAUCCCUGGAGGCCCCCGUCUGUCUCAGGCAAUGGAAGUGGAUGGACUGAAUGACUGUAGCAAGCAAGGCUAUUCCCAGGAAACCAAACGCCUGAAGCGGACCCCAGCUACAGACUCCAUGGGCCUAGAAAUGGAACACAGGUUCAUUGAUCAAGUGUUAUCCACUUGCCGGAACGUAGAACAAGUCAGGUAUGCCAAUGCAUACAGGAAGUGGCUAGUUACUUUGAGUCAAUGAAAGAGGUGGAUUAAUCCUUCAAGGUUCCCCUUUUAGUGCAAUAUUGCUUUCCUGUCUCAUUGACAUAGUUGCAUGAACUUUGCUAUGAAGCUGGCUAUGUUCCUGUCCUUUAGGUUAAAAGUCCUUAGGAAAUCUUUUAUUUAAGAAUUGGCAUUCCUUUGGGGAUAAAGUAAUUCUAUAAUUUCUUCCUGCUAAAUAGUUUUUUUUUUUUUUUUUUUUUUUUUUUUUCCUCCUCAUCCUUUAUAUACUUGGGGCUGCUCAUUUGAUUGACAAGUACCUCUGCCCACUUCAGUUCACUUGCUACAUAGGCAAAUUUUAGAUUAAGACCUUAUGUUGUGUUUCAGUUGAAGAACAUAACACACUUGCAAAAGGACUUGAUCUUACUGUUGUUUUGAAACUCAUAUGGCUAGAUUAAUGGAUAGGGGGAAAAUAUAAACCAUUUCCCUAUCUAGCGUAGUCUGUUCACAUUACAGUCUAAGAUAGCCAAAGUCAAAAGUAUUAGAACUUAUGUCAAAAAUUGCCUCCAGUGUAUAUAGUCCAUUUUUUAAAAUGGCUAUGUUAAAGGAGGUGGGUAUGUAAUUGCAGUACUGGAAAAUUAACUUUACUGUUUUUAGUAGAUUAUUUUUACCUCACAUUUGGUAUAUGCCAAAACAGUCAAGUGAGCCCUUAAAACAUGAACUUGUUUUUAAAUCCCAGAAUGCCAUUUUUAGUUAUUACUGCCUUUUUUCUUCCAUAAUUACUCAUAUAAAGUGAAAAAUAUAUGGAAAAAUGUAUUCAUAAAAAUUUCCUUAAAAAUUUAAGUUAUUGAAGUUAUACUGGAUAAACUACACAAUUUUAGUUAGGUGCUUUAAGUUUGUUGGCAAAAGCUGGGGGGAAAGAACAAUUUUAGAGAUUAGUCCUUUGGUUUUAAAAAUGAAACAACACUUUGAAACUGGAUUUUGUCAGAGAUGCCAUACCAAAGUAUCCGCACUAUAGCUAUAUUUUAUCUUUUUCAUAACAAGGGCUCGAGUUUUUCAGGUUGGCAGCAUAGGGGUGGGAAGAAGGGCCAGUUAUGUCUAUGUUCUUAUUAUAACCCCUCUUUAUAAAAUGGUCUGGUUCUUCUUCCCACAUUUUGUUUCCUUUAUUUUAGCAAUCUAUUCCAUGUUUUUGUCACUGGCACAUUUGUAUAUUUUCUUCUGUCUUAAUUUCAGGGACACUUACUGAAGCUGUUAACCCUCUCAGUUUAAUGAAUUUUAUACACCUCCAUACACCUAUACACACAUGCACACAUGCAGAGCAAACUGGAAUAAGAGCCACCCUUUAAAAGUUCCUUUAAGAAUGGAAGCUGUCUCUUGUCCUAUGUGUGUACAGUGUGAAUGGUAACUAUAGUAACAAGUGUAACCACCAGCCUUUCCGUUUUCCUAGUCUGUCGGAUGGAAAGAGGGAUGCAGGGAAAGGCGAGCCUUUCCUGCCUUGUUCUUAUGGAAAGUCAGGGCUUGAGUUAGGUGCACUGCCUUAAGGAAAAGAAAUUUCGUCCCUUAUUUUGACCUCAUGGUUUUUUCAAAUAGCAGACUGUUGAACUGAGUGGCACACUUAAGAAUACCAGAAAAAUUACUUAGCUUCGUCCCUGUAGAUAGAUGUUAGUCUUCUUUCCUAGGGCAAAAAAUACUUGUUAUAAAUUGAGAAAAUAAUUGCCAUUAUGAAUAUGUUUCCCCUGAGUACAAAGCAUGUUAGGAAUCAAACAUCGCAUGAUCUGUGUAGGUCUGUGGAUAAAAUCGUUAGAUUUAUGAUUUCCUGUUCCUGUGGGAGUUGGGUAGAAGCUACCCAGAGAAGACAUGGGUGGUCCCAUCCAUUCCAAUAAUACACAUUGCUAAAUUCUGGCCUUAUGCAGUACCUGUUAUUUUAAGCAUCAUUUUUAGUAUCCCAAACAAGAAGGCUUCUUAUUCUUUGACAUGAGUACCUGUCAUGACAUGCUUAUAGAUAAUAUCAUAUGGACAGUAGCUAAAUUUUUAUAGUACUCCAUGCCUUUUUAUACCUGCCAUCCAGUAGCUUCUGAUACCUUGCCUGUCUCUCAUGUUAACUGCCUUUAUAUCUUCUGAAGCUCAACCCAUCACUUUCUGAAGCCAUGCAGUCCUUCGGUAUAUCUUGGUCUCUGUCUUCCUUAUAAAGUUCUAAGUAGGGAGUGAAAAAUACAGAUAUCCAAAGGAUACUCUUAUUAUGUGACUUUUAUGUGCCACUUGAGUUCUCAAAUAUGCAUUUCUUGAGUGUGCAUCCACAAGAUAACUUAGAAUUGUCUUAUAUGGCUGUGGUUUUUUUCUGAAGUGCUUGACAUUUAAACCCACUGACAUAAUAAUAGAUCUUUGAAUAAAUGAGUUCAUGCAGUAAAAAGAAUAUAUCUAUUUUCAGGGGCUUGUUAGUCUUAGUUUUCUGACAAUACAUAGUUGUUAAAAGAUUGACACAUUUUCAUCAGAUACUACUGAUAAGCAAAAAGCAAUAAGAUCUGUAACUGUGGCCACCAUAACCCUUGCCCUACCUUUUUAAUUUUUUAGAUACAUUUAUGUUGGUAAUAAAUUGCUUCCAUAGUCUACUGUGUGCCUGGUACACUGUGAGGAGUAACUAAGUAUUUAUUGAUGACUGAUUAACUAUCUGAAGAAAGGAAAGAUUAGUGAAGAGUGAGAAAAAUAAAUGAGUUGUGGUAAAUAAUGUCUUCUAGCUUCCUAAUACUUAGGAAGAACGGAUCACAUUUAGAAAAAGUUGAUUUAGAUUUGUUUUCUCCAUUUUGUUACCUUGUUUUAACUUGUUAAAUCCCAGCCAAGAAGGGUAUCUGUUCAUUUAUCAGCUGAACUUCAGUGUUUAUUAAAAGCUCACGAAGAGAUGAAACCCAUCUGCAUUAAGAAUACUGCUUGCUCCUGGUCGCUCGGUGAGGGCCACCUGGGGCAGGCAGGCAGUGAGGAAAUGGUUGGACUUCAGUAACAGCCUGAAGCGUUUUUGCUUUUUUUCUCUCCAACUUGAACUGUGGACCUUGUAGAUACUUUCUGAACCUGUGUGAGUCAUUUUUUUUUAAGAUUAAAGACUUGAUACAUAAUAAUACAUCCCUUAUUACCUCCUUAGAAACUGUGGGCCCAGAUGCCAGUCAUAUUUCUUAUUUCUAUGGGAUUAUUCUAAUUUAAAUUAAAAGCUUCAAGCUUUUUUUUUUUUUUAAAGUGCUAGGGAUUAUUCCCCACUUCAGUAAUUAUUAAUAGGGAUUGAUAUAUACAGAUUGUCACUAAAAGCCACUUAUAUCUUUAAAUAAGGCCUAAUGUGAUACUGAUUAUGGAAAGAAAAGUUUUGGGGUUUUUAUGGAAAGCAACAUAUAUGGUAAGCAUUGUGUAAUUUAAAUAUAUUCAAAUACCAAUUCAUGCUUGUGUGUGUGUGUGUGUGUGUGUGUGUGUGUAUGUGUAAGUAAAGAGAGCUUCUGAUAUUGCUACAAACUAUCAGUCUUAGGAUUUUUCUUUAUACAGCACAAAAUGAUAUCUGACAGUGGGCUAACUGCAAUUUUAAAGUGGAUUUACCAAUUCUAUAGCAGUGUCAAUCCUAGUUCCUUUGAAUUAUGGAAGAUGGUAACAUUGUAGUUGUAAAUGGUAUUAAUUUUUUUUUUUUUCCUUUUUCUGAAAAAAACAAAAAAAACCUAUUUAAAUUUACUGUUAUUUUGUUACCAGAAAGUUAUAUUUUAAUACCUUAAGAUAUUUAAAGUUUGCUAAGAAAUUUGAACAACACUGAACAGCCGGACCUUUGGCCUUUUGAAUGAGUUUCUCAAAUAGAACCACAGACUGUAGCGCCCUUAGCCAUCACUGCCCCGUGCUCUGUAGUGAGCUCCUGUAUGUCGGAGGCCUUCGUGGAGGUGGCACUGAAAACUUUGGGCAAGUUCAGUGUCAUUAAGGCAGUACACAAGAAAGAUAAACCCCAGUGAUUUUACUCCCAUCACUCAGUGUCUUUGAGAAAAUAGGUAUUUACUGUGUUAAUUUGAGUGCCUUUCUUUCUUUUGGGAGAAGCAAGAUUAUAUUACAGUGAACGUAAUGUUUAAGUGGAGCUCAGUAUGGAAAAUUUAUCAAAUUUCAUUCCCAUAGCUAGGCAUGGUCCCAUGAGGGAGUGAUUAAAGAGACAGGAUCCUAAUGCAUUGUAUUAAGUUAGUUCACAUUUGUAGGCACCAUACCAAGUAGUUCUUUCUUUCUGACAGCUAACCUUUUGGGGCUUACAGUCAUCACAUAAAAGGUGAUACCAUGCACAAUUACAUGCAGUCUGAAGCUUACACAGCAUGUGUUCAAAGAAAAACUGACACUCUGCCUCAAAAUAAAGAUCAAAUGGUUGUCCUAAGUGAAUCCUUUGCCUUACUUUAAGGAUCUUCCUUCCUUUCCAGAUUCAGCAUGAUAUAGGAUAGUUGGGGGUGGGAGUUAGACCUUUUUUUUUUCUCAGAUAAUCAGAAAAAUAAACACAUAAAUUUUUAAAUGUGUCAUUUUGUAUAUUUGUGUAUGAGAGAGAGAUAGGAAUUUCGUAUUUCACAACAGCAAAUAAUUGUUAUAAUUUCAUAAAAAUAUAGUUAAGAUUCCAAAGUGCUUUACAGAAAUUUCUUAAAUAUGUAUUUCUAAAGGGCAGUGAUAUGCUGUGUUCAUAGUGAAGACAAAAUCAGUGUGUCCAUUUGAGCUCUGGUAUAGGAGGGGAAACCUCAGGCUCCCAAUUUUGACUUCUCUACUCUUACCAGGCCAUGGUAACACUGUAAAACCAAACUCUUUGCUAUGUAUAUAUAUAUAUAUAUGGCAGUAGCUUAGUCUGCUGGUCAAACAUUGUGCUUCCAAGAAUAUUAGCUAUAUAUAGUUUGUGCUUUAUGGACAAUAACAGUAGGAUCCUCAAAGCUAACCCUGAUAUUUCUCUUAAUUGGUCUAUUGUUAUUCCUCAGGGUGUAAAAGAUGUAGUCAACUUAGAAUAAAAUUUUAUAUUUAGUGGCAAAAAAAGAAAAAGCAAAACUAUGUUAGAUAUGUUCCUAGCUCUUAACAUUUUAAUAUGUAUAGUAUUUUUUAUAAACUACUACCAGCAUAGUAGCUAGUAGACGCGCUCUGACUGCCUCACUGUUCGACUUGCUGCUUUAGUCCACGUGGCCCAUUUUGGAGCAUUGUCUUACGUAUGUCUUCCAUGGGAAUGGUUUCUAUAUUAUAUGUCCAUGUUGGGUGGUGUGCAAGGUCCUAAUUGUUGAUUUGACAGCCUUCUCAAUUUUCAGAAACCCUACUAGGAAAAUGGUUACUGUUGGUUUCAAUUUGAUUAUUUUGCUUCCUCGACUUGUUUCCCUGAGCGUUUGUGUGCAGGUUUGUACAUAUUGAGCAUACUGCAUAAAUGCCUUGCAUGGUAUAGGGUUGGGUCAGAAUAGAUAAAGGCUACAGAGGAAAGACUAGUGCUAUCUCUUCACUGUCUAAAUUCUUAUGAUAAUUUCAAGGUAAAAGCACCCAUCUUACACGAGAUACAUAAUCAGAUUCAAACACAAGGUAACUAUGCAGCAUUGCAAGUCAAACUCAGAUACUUCUAAGAUACCCAGAUUAGAGUGGCUACACACAAACACGCAUGCAUACCUAUCACAUUUGGAGCUUGAAUUUGUAUGAUGAUUUUUACAAAGAAUUUUAUCCAAAGGAUUUUAUUUUUGUAUUUGUUUGGUGUUCAUAGAAGUCAGUUUUCUUUUCUAGGCCAACUCCCUCUAAAAAAGUUGGAAAUAUAACACAACUACCAAUUUGCCCUGAUUAGUCAGUUGUAUAAAUUGCUUAUAUUAAGUUUUUAAUGGUUUAUACAUGAUACCAUAUUCUGGUUUUUAUUCCAUAACUUCAAGGAAUCAACCUUAAUUUUAUGUCUGCCAAUCACUUUCCUUAAAGUACUAUGCAGCAUACAUUAAAUUGUUUAUAUUUAUAAAGUGAAGACAAUACAAUUGACUACUGUGUCAUAAAGAUUUACAAUUUCACAUGUCCAGAUGUUAAGUCAAACAGCGUUCUAUUAGAAAUGCUUACAUAUUGUCCUUCCUCAUCAGAGUCAUGCAUUUGGAGCAGAUUGUUUUUUCUUACUUGUUAAAGAAUGAGUAUAGUCUUGAGUGUGAUCAUGGUAGGUGCUCUGUAAAUAACCGAUUAUUGAGCUAAUAUCUAACUGAACUGUCAGCAGUUUCAGAGACCAUUGUCUCUUUUCGCGAGAAGUAUAUUGUAGAGUAAUAUAUGUGUGCAACUGAAAAAUUAUUUCACUUGAAAUGAAUUAUUAGGGUAUUUAGGCUAGAGUUCGUAACAUAAUUCACACACUGUUUAUGUACAUGGUUUGAAAAUAGAUGUGAAAUUUUAAGCUGUAAUAUCUUCCUGUGUGUACAGCACAAUAAUAAAUGUGAUGAAAUGAAUGUCUUAAAAAACAGGCAGCUGAACUCUAAGAAAAACUGUUGUAGUCUUCAGUUUCUGUAUUAAUAUGCCCUGAACCACCUAGUUCAGGUUAUUUUUAUUUCUCCCUAAAUCCUAGUAGCUUUCCGUGUUGUCGUAAUGGUGAAAUACAAAGGUAUGUUCAAAAGAGUUAUUUUCCCAGGACAUCUUUGACAUGAGGAAGAAGUUUUUAUGAAUAAUACCGUACUGUAGUUUCAUUAUCUGUUCACCUGUGACUUUCAGAGCCGUUUUGUCAGCUUACCUGAUGUAAAAAGAUUAAACAGUUUGUGAAAACAUUCCCACCUGAGCUAUGAGAAACCAGCUGUACAGGAGGAGUGUAAUUAGGCCCUGGCUUAGUGGGAGGUUCAGUGCAUGACUGAUGCUGACUUGGGACUGAAGUGACCACUGUGAGUAUGUUCUAGGAGAGAAAUGGACUGUGUACUAGAUUAACUUACUGUUUUCAAGUUGGAAAAAAAAAGAUGAGGGGGUUACAGAUACACCAAAUAUUUAUAUACUCUACUAUAAAAACUUUAAAGGAAAAAAGAGCAGGAGAAGAGGGGCAAAAAUCAGUAACGAUAUUUUUAAUAUCUUCUGAAUUUUUUUUAAUCCAAGUAUCUUGGGCAAGUAGUCACUUACUGAGUUGAACAGUAAGGAACUUUAAGGGAAAGGUCAUAAAUUGGAAUCAGUGUUGUCUUAAGAUUGUCAUAUAGCUUUUCCUUCACUUGCUGCACUGCUGCAUUUCUGAAAUCUGUUCUCCCCCAGUAUAGUAGCAGUCUGCAUUGAAUGAAGUUCUUUCAGAGUAAUUGACAUUUUCUAAGGAGUACAUAUUUUGUGAAGUCUUAAAAUUGCAAAGGAGUAAGAAUACAUUUUGCAGUAAGCUUGUGCAGAGUGCACUGACAGCGCUCCGGGAGGUAAUACCACCUGAUUCAUGACAGUAAAUGCUAAGGCC